ACUCCAGUCUGGCUCUGUGCGGCGGCAUCUGGGGUGUAGUAUAGGUGGAAGCGCAAGCACAAAUGAAAUACCACCGCUCGGAACGUUGCUUCACUUAUCGAAUGAAGGGACCAAUGGGUUUCGCGUAGUCUGUGGGCCAUGCACCGUCUAGGUUUGGGAUUUUAUGGCGGCAACCCCGUCUCCACGGGAGGUGGCGCGUGUUCGCAAGGGCAUGUGUCCCCGUUUUUCUCCUUUACGGGAGGGCCCGUGGGCACCCAACCGUGCUGACAAACUGAACCAACGGGGUUGCUUCGGCAGCUUCGGAGUCUUGUUUCGAGACAUCUGCCAGAUAUGGGGAGU
rnacentral:ncRNA from 1 species